GGGCCCGUAGCUCAGCUUGGAUAGAGUGUUGGACUUCUAAUCCAAUGGUCGUGGGAUCGAAGCCCUCCGGGCCCG
rnacentral:tRNA from 1 species